AAAUUAAUAUUAGCAAUAGGUGCCAAUUAUGAAUGUUUCGGAAAUACAAUCAUAGAUUGGUUAAAUGGAAAGCGGGUGUGAAUCCCGCGCGGUCCCGCCGCUGUGAAAGAGGAGUCCUUGCAAGGUACCACUGGGAAACUGGGAAGGUAGCAAGGGUGAUGAUACUUGAGCCAGAAUAUCUGCCUGUUUCUGAUACACCGU
rnacentral:ncRNA from 2 species